UACGGGGGGGGCAAGCGUUGUUCGGAAUUACUGGGCGUAAAGGGCUCGUAGGCGGCCAACUAAGUCAGACGUGAAAUCCCUCGGCUUAACCGGGGAACUGCGUCUGAUACUGGAUGGCUUGAGUUUGGGAGAGGGAUGCGGAAUUCCUGGUGUAGCGGUGAAAUGCGCAGAUAUCAGGAGGAACACCGGUGGCGAAGGCGGGUCUCUGGGCCGAUACUGACGCUGAGGAGCGAAGGCGUGGGGAGCGAACAGG
rnacentral:rRNA from 1 species